rnacentral:tRNA from 1 species
GGGAGUGUAUCUCAGUGGUAGAGCACUUGCCUAGCAUGCAAGAGGCCCUGGGUUCAAUCCCA